rnacentral:tRNA from 1 species
AAAAUUUUAGUUUAAUUGGGUAAAAUAAUUCAUUUACAUUGGAUAGAUUAGUAAAAAAAUUUAU